GGGCGGGGCGGGGCGGGGGCACCGGGAGAGCAGGCCCGCGAGACUCUGCGUGCGGCGCCCGCCCAACCAUGCUCCUCUACCGCAGCGCCGUGUGGUUCGCCAAAGGCCUGCGCGAAUACACCAAGAGUGGCUAUGAAUCUGCAUCCAAGGACUUCAUCCCUGAUGACCUGGACGUCCAAGUCCCUGGAAGAGCCUUCAUGGUCACCGGGGGGAACAGCGGCAUCGGAAAAGCAACUGCCUUCGAGAUCGCCAGGCGAGAACAUCUUUCUGCACAUUGUGGACUUAUCUGAUCCCAAGACAGUCUGGAAAUUUGUUGAAAAUUUCAAGCAGGAACAUACCCUCAAUGUCCUGAUCAAUAAUGCAGGUUGCAUGGUCAAUAAGAGAGAGCUCACGGAAGAUGGACUUGAAAAAAACUUUGCUACCAACACUCUGGGUGUGUAUGUUCUCACGACCGCCCUGAUCCCCAUCUUGGAGAAAGAACACGACCCCAGAGUGGUGACAGUCUCCUCUGGAGGAAUGUUGGUUCAGAAACUGAAUACCGAUGACCUACAGUCAGAAAGGACAGCAUUCGAUGGUACCAUGGUCUAUGCACAAAACAAAAGGCAGCAGGUGGUCCUGACGGAGCAGUGGGCCCGAGCGCACCCGACCAUCCACUUCUCGUGCAUGCAUCCCGGCUGGGUCGACACCCCAGGUGUGCGGUUGUCGAUGCCCGGGUUCCACGCCAGGCUGGGGGCCAGGCUGCGCUCUGAGGCCCAGGGCGCGGACACCGUGCUGUGGCUGGCCCUCACCCCGACUGCCGCCGUGCAGCCCAGCGGCCGCUUCUUCCAAGUCAUAGAAAUAAGCCCCGUUCUUUAUACAAAGCCUAGUAUUGAAGCCGUGACCCACCAUCUCCUCACUGUGGGACCACAGUGACGCUGGGGAAAGUUGUAACAAAAAUCGGUGGACAGAUUUAGGAUAGCUCCCUACACGUUCUGGAUGGUCACGGCGAAAUAAACCCACAGCGGAGGAGAACCCAGCUGGGCACCGCUCACCCAGUCCCACGGUGCGGGGCCUUCAGACGUGCCUGCGGUGCUCAGGUCCAGGCUGUCAGCCGAGGAGCCCCUAGGAAGGGGCUUUCUGGAAGAGCCGUCGGAUCAGAGGAGAUGCUUAGUCUUCCCUAGGUUAAGUCAGUAUGGGUAAAAUAUUAUUAAUAUAUUUCUGCAAUUGUAUAUUGCAUGGGAAGGCCCUGGAGACUUAUCAGUGCUCUCAUUGUCUGUUUUUACCUGCAGGCAAAAUACUGAUCAAAUCUCUUAGGAAAUAGUUAUGUAGGGUAUCUCAAUAGAGAAUUUUACUCUUCUCAAUUCUGAUAUUAUUUAUAACAGUAAAAAUUAACCAUUAAGUCUCUAAUAUCUACAGGUAACUUUGUAUUAUUCUGACUCUUGCCUGAAGCCUCCACGAUAAGCUACAGGCCAGAAAGGUCAAUCUCAGAGUUUCCUGGGAAAGGACUCUAUAUAGCAGGUAUUUUUAAAUACUGGUAUUUAAACGAAUAGACUCUUAGGCAAAGGGUACUGAACUGACAUUGCUUAGAUAAUCUGUAAACUGUGCUAGUGGAUCGAGUCAGGAUUUCCUUGGAUUUCUGGACUCUUUUUAGUCUGCAUGCAGAUGGCUUCAAAAAUGCAGACUGCUGAACCAAAAACCAGCAGAACAAGAAUUAAUGACACAGGACUGAAUGAACUGAAGAGGGAAGUUCUACUGUGGUUACUUGUCUGGAAUACUGUUGACGUUGCUUUAAUGUUCUAUUUUUUGGAUAUAUGAGGCUGCCUUUUCUCUUACUUUUUAUGCUAUCUCUAACUUAUAAUUUAGUAAAUUCUGCUUUGAUAAGCUAAAUCCAGACAUUUAAGAAUGAUAUCCAAUUCCAGAGAUCCCCCAGAAUUCAAAAUCUGUUACUGAGUCCCCUUGAUUUGCAUGGCAAUAUAGUUAUUUCACAGGUUUAAUUAGAAUCUAUCCAUAGUAUAUCGUUGGGCAGACAAGGCCUUACCUAGAGUAUCAUAUUGGAGGGUAGUGUUCAUUGAAUCAGAUAUGACUGGCCCCUUUAAGAAUUAAGGGAGCCAAUGCCUAUGACCAUCCCCCUCCCAAAAGGAAAACUGGCCUGGUACCUGGUUUGCAGGGUCCUUGGCCUUACAGGUGGUAAGAAAGCUACCAGGCCAGGAAGCUAGCAAAUGUUGAAAACCUCGAGCAAUUCAACGAAGGUUAUAAGUACUAUAGGUGAAAAAUGGUGGAGAUUUUCUUGGGCUCAGUUUCCUAGCCUUGGGAUAGCAGAUAACAGAGGUUCUGAAAAGCUCAAUCCAAGAUUCCUUAUAAAAACUUUUGUAAAUGU